AUUUGCGUAUACUAUAUAAGAUAUUAAAACAUAAUUAAGGUUGCAUAUUAAAUUGAUAUAACUUAUCUUAGUAAAGCAUUUGAUGUCGUACCACUGUACGUAAAAGUUAACUCUUCUGCACUUGUCCUGAAUCAAUCAGAAGACCUGCACUGAACAGAAUUAGAUCAAGUUCGCAGUUCUCGAAUCCAGGCACAAAUGACUGAUGCCAAAAGCAACACUGCACAUGUAGUAUAACACAAGUCCCGAAAUCUAAUAGCAAAAUGACGAGGACGCGGAGAAACGAGUGAUGAUGUUUUCAAGCAUAAGCAUUGUGCACAAUCUAUCAGAAUGGCCAGAGUCCGAAAACUGAUCCACUCACACACGUAAUAUUGUAAUCUGGAAGAGUCGGGAAGUACCCUUCGAUACUCCUCAGUAGCUUUCAGAGUGUGGAUGUAGACUUAGAUGCAGAUGUAGAUGCAGUCAGUCACAUUUCGGAUUUUGCAGUUGAAGAUAACAUGGAAGACAUUGCCCAACAAUCACCACGAAAGUUUGACGAAGUGGCAAGUGGGCAAGGAAUAAAACGAAUGCUGCAAACUACCGUGAGCUGUGGAAGAGACCGGGCCGCGAGGGCGUCGAGCUUCCAAGGUCAUUGUCGGACGACGUCAAAGGAAGAGAUAUUCUGCUUUCUCUUUGUAAACAGAUCGAUCGAGUCUCGAAAGGUUCAUGUAAAACGUGUAGGCGGGUGACACAUUAGGUGGGACCCGAUGCCUGUAAUACUUCCACAGUUAUUAAAAAGGUGUUAAACGGCAAAACCAAUAGUUCAUUAUUUAUAUAGAUAAAAAGUAGUAAAGAUAUAG